CACCGGCAUCUGGCGACAGGCAGCCUGUCUUUAAAACUUACAUACCAUGGCCAGACCCAAAGCUUCAUUCAGAAACAUGUUGUGAGAUAGCGCAGCACCGAGAUUAUGCCUCGUGCAGAACAUUCACCUCUUUUCUUCAUUUGAACUGCCUCAGUUUUUUGGAGUGUGGUUCUUAGCAUGCAAAACGGGAGCAGAAAUGCCCUUCUGAAGUUGAAUUUUGCCCACUGCCCGUAAGCCAGGUUGCUUGGGGCUUGCAAGGUUUGGGAUAGUGCCUCUAAAAACGAAGAUACAUGGAAGCAGAUGGUCCUGUGGUAGCUGAGCAUGGAAGAAGACGCCUGAAGAAAGUGUGUUGUGGCAGGAAGGAUGUGUUAGAUGAGGGAGCAGAGACGAGCCGGGAAUGUAAGGAGGCAGCAUGCAGGGGGCACGCAGUUUCCAGGAGUCUGGUAGCGUAGGAGGUGCUAUACCGUGGUGGCAAAUCUCUUGGAGCAGGUGUGCAGGGGCAAACUGCCUGCCUGCCACCCCCUGGGCAGCUUGGCAGUGUGUGCUGGGAAAGAGCCAGGGCUGAGGUGUGAGGGGAAGGAAAAACAGGAGGGGGAGAAGGGAGAGUAAGGAAGAAAAAAGCCAAGAGGAGCGGGGAUGAUGUGACAAGAAGCAGGGGGCACCCACCUGUGAAGGAUCCCUCUGAGGCGUUCAUGGUCUCACCGAUGGGAAUGAGAUGGUCAAGCUGAAGAGGACAUAUCGUUCCGUCUUGGCAGAUAAUGACAUGGCCUCAGCUGUUUGUAUCUCUGCUGGUUCCUGGAAGCACCAACAUGAUGUACAUGGGCCAGAAGCCUUUAGCGUUUGGUGACUCCAGCUGGGACAGGACUUUGCAGUCAGUCUUCUUAGCAGUCAGCUACUGCAAGUAUUGGAAGCUAUCUGCUUGCUAUGGGACCUUCAACCGCAUUUUGUGCCUCAGUCCUCAUUUCAAGACAUUGCCCAGCCUGAGUCCCUGCUGUGGGAUGCAGGGUAUGGCUGACAGUUGCUUAAAAACUUAACGUGUGUUUGCAAAAUAAAUCUCGCCUGUAGCGAUCAUGGUGGGGAUCAGGUCAGAGCUUUCUGAAUGGAAGGUACAAGCCUAUGCAUGGAGCUCUGCUAGCAUCAUUGCAGGCCUUGCUGCCUUCUGUGCCAAGAGCCAGGCAUCCUGAAAUUUGUUUUAGUUUUGCUUUUUUUUUCCUCAUGCUUCCUAUAGCAUAAAUACACAGUAAUCUGUAAUAUUAAAACAAACAAGCAAAAACCCUAAAAUCUGCCCAACUCACGCUUCUUAGGAGU